rnacentral:rRNA from 1 species
AUGGCCGCUGGUCUCUCGGGCUCCACCAUGGCCAGCUUCGCCGUCAAGAACCCUCUGCUCGCCGCGGCCGCGCGCUUCCGGACGCUGCCUUCCCGCGCCGGCCGGCCUCUGCCGUUCUCCCCGUUCACGCGGACGGCGCGCAGGCGCGGGCAAGAGACCGUCACGUGCUUCGUCCCGCAGGAGGGCCAGGCGCCCGGCCCGGCUCCCGAGCCCGUGCCUUCGCUGGAGGAAGAGGCGGCGUCCGCGGCGGCGCGCCGCGUGGCGGAGAGGAAGGCGCGGAAGCAGUCCGAGAGGCGCACGUACCUGGUGGCCGCCGUCAUGUCCAGCCUCGGCGUCACCUCCAUGGCCAUCGCCUCCGUGUACUACCGCUUCGCCUGGCAAAUGGAGGGCGGCGAGGUGCCGAUGACCGAGAUGCUGGGCACGUUCGCGCUCUCCGUCGGCGCAGCGGUCGGGAUGGAGUUCUGGGCGCAGUGGGCGCACAAGGCGCUGUGGCACGCCUCCCUGUGGCACAUGCACGAGUCGCACCACCGGCCGCGCGACGGGCCCUUCGAGCUCAACGACGUCUUCGCCAUCAUCAACGCCGGGCCGGCCAUCGCCCUCCUCGCCUACGGCUUCUUCCACCGCGGCCUCAUCCCCGGCCUCUGCUUUGGCGCGGGCCUUGGGAUUACGCUUUUCGGCAUGGCAUACAUGUUCGUGCACGACGGCCUGGUCCACCGCCGGUUCCCCGUCGGCCCCAUCGCGGACGUGCCCUACUUCCGGCGAGUGGCUGCCGCUCACAAGAUACACCACAUGGACAAGUUCGAGGGGGUACCGUAUGGGCUUUUCCUGGGACCCAAGGAGCUGGAGGACGUUGGUGGCCUCGACGAGCUGGAGCAGGAGCUCGCCAGGAUCAACCGGACUCGGAGCAUCUGA